rnacentral:lncRNA from 1 species
GGCUUCCGGCCCGGCGAGGUUUGAGCGCGUCCGCGGGCUGGGAGGCCGCUGGACCCGGGCGCAUGGCCUCCCCCGGGCAGUUAUCUCCUUGCCGCGACCUUGAGGUCUUCGACCGUGUGCUGUCCUGGAGCCAGUGAAACCAGACGAAAUUAAGGGAACAGCAGACGAAGGAACUGCCACCGUGCCCCAGACCCUGGUUUGCAAAUACAGUUCGACAAAGAUCUUGCCAGGAAUUGGCCUGGGAGAGUCCAAAGGACUGGGCUGGGGGUGGGGAAAUGAUUUUAGCCAGAAGACAAAUAUAGAGGUUGUACCCAGAAGGUUAAGAGGCUUAGGAAGGUUAAGAACUACGUUAACAUUUGGCUCCCAGGACCCCAGGUAAAGUGCCCUUGGAUUGAAUAGAUUUCUGAACUCCAGAAACAUUUAGAGGAAUCAAUAGAAUUAGAUUGGCAGCCAUUGUGCCAAUGGACAAGUGCUUACUGAGCCCCUUAAUCCCUUCACUGGGUAAGCAUUUGCCACACAUGUCCUCAAAAACCUACUUGUUAGCUUAAGUGGACUCCCUCAAGUUCAGAACAGGAGCAAAUAGUGUAAUCACAAGUUCCGUGUCUGAAUAAUCAUAACAAUGUUUAUAAAAAUAAGGACGACUGUUGAAAACUGCAACUGCAGCUGAACCUUAUGUGCCCAGACUUCAGAAUUCCCAUAGGCAAAAUGCCAGCAGGCCUUUGCACACUGAACACAUAGUGUUCAUAUCCUUCACUUUCCUUUCCUGCCCUCUCCUAUCUUCUCCAGAUCUGCCUGUGAAAGGACCCAAUUCUAGGACCCCCCAGGAUGGUUAGGCCCUUCCUCUGAAAGUACACUUUGCAAUUUGUUAGUCUCCUCAAGAACCCCAGCGAUCGAAACUGAUGCACACAAAUUGCAUGUGUUCAAAGGAGCAAUUUUGAAUCUAGCUUUGUUGAUCCUGGGAGAAAUCUUUGACCUGUGUUAGUGAAAGGCUAUGGUGUUUCUCAGCUGAUUAUAAUAGCGAGGUAGCUGAAUGCAAAAAAACAGUUUCAGAGAAUGGUAGAGUAUAUCCUCCAAAGGUGAUACUCGCUUCUCUAUUCUGGUGAGAGAAACAAGAGCUAAAGCAAAAUUCUACAGAGGGCUUUAUUUGGAGAGAGGUGGAUUUUAUUUAUAAUGCAUUUAAAAUUCAAAAUCUUUCUAGUUUGAACUCUUGACAUUCUGAUUAAUGCAUUUUUAUUCAACUGUUAAUUAUUCCUCGAUACACCUCGCCAUCACUUGUGUAUCCCUUUUCUACAUGUGACCUUUCCCUGGCCACAUCUGCUACUCUCUUUGAGCAUGAUGCCUCUACUGUAUUCUAUUCCAGAGCUCAUUGUUUUGUCAGUUUUUUUUCUCUCCACAAAAAAAGAUGAUCAAAUAAUUACAUAGAAUUUUUCCCUUCUCAGUCUUUGGGUAACUAAGUGUGGUUUUAUUGACGAUGAAAUACAAGAUGGGUCAUUUAAAAGCAACUUCUUGUCAUCACUUGGUAUUUUGCUAAAUCCACGGUGAGCUGGAGCUCCCGUAGUCACCUAUCACCGCGUGUAUUUUAAGGAGUCAGAUAUUCUCGAAACUGUUAAGAUCAUGAAAGACAAAGAGACUAAGGAACUGUCACAGAUUAAAGGAGACUAAAGAUACUUGACAACUGAAUGUAAUAUAUGACACUCAACCGGCUCCUGUACCAGAAAAAGGACAUUGGUUAUAUUGGUGAGGUUUGAAUAUCUGUAGAUUACCAAUACUAUUCUUGGUUAUGGUGGUUAUGUAAGAUUUAGAGAAGUUGAAUAAAGGAUAUAAGGACAUUUUUGUACUAUUUUUGCAACAUUUAAAAAAGUCUGAAAGUUUAAAAACUUUUUAAAAAAGAAGGAAAAAGAAACAAGGAGCAAGCAUCCAGGAAAAUAGAAAAUAGAGUCUCAUUCUGUCACCCAGGCUGGAGUGCAGCGGCACGAUCAUAGCUCACUGCAGCCUCAAACUCCUAGGCUCAAGUGAUCCUCCCACCUUAGCCUUCCAAAUUGCUGGGAUUACAGGUAUGAGCCACUGCACCCAGCCGAGAAGAAUAUUAAUGAUGAUGAUGAUGAUGAUGAUGAUGAUGUUGAUAAUGAUAUAUGGCUGGUCAGUUAAUCAAAACUAAUUCCUCCAUUGAGACAUAGUGCUGUGUUAGUAAUUAUUGUGUUUCUGGAAGCUAUGUAAAAUAUAAGUCUAAUUAAGAGGAACUAAAGCUAAGGCAAUGCCUAGUAAUUCUCAAGGAAAAACAAGGAAGAGAGUCAGAAAUGACACUUUUAAGGCCUCAGAUAUCUAUGUACCAACACCCAGAAUAUGGGUAAUAAAGGGAAUGUAAUUUUUUUUUUUUUGAGACAGAGUUUUGCUCUUGUCGCCCAGGCUGGAGUGCAAUGGCGCGAUCUCCGCUCACUGCAACCUCCACCUCCUAGGUUCAAGCGGUUCUUCAGCCUCAGCCUCCUGAGUAGCUGGGAUUACAGGCACGCCACCACCACGCCUGGCUAAUUUUUGUAUUUUUAGUAGAGACAGGUUAUUACCAUGUUGGCCAGGCUGCUCUCAAACUCCUGACCUCAGGUGAUCUGCCUGCUUUGGCCUCCCAAAGUGCUGGGAUUACAGGCAUGAGCCGCAGCGACUGGCCGGGAAUGUAAAAUUUUAAUACACUCAGGAAAAUGCAAUUUUAUAGGUAUUGUUUAGACUUGGGAGGGUGGAACUUCUGGCUGGCAUCUGGAAAACUUGAUUCAGAGAUACCAUACAGAAGAAGAGAGCAGUAAUAUGUCAAGAAGGUAUAACUAGUAAUUCAUUGGCUGGAGGGUGAAAAGCAUUCAGUGAGAAUGAAACGGAGAAAUGAAAGUGAUUAUAGUUGUAGAAGUAUACAAGAGACUUCUCAGAUUAAAAGUAUGAAUGGGGCCGGGCGCGGUGGCUCACGCCUAUAAUCCCAGCACUUUGGGAGGCCGAGGCAGGUGGAUCACCUGCGGUCAGGAGUUUGAGAUCAGCCUGGCCAACAUGGUAAAACCCCGUCUCUACUAAAAAUACAAAAAUCAG